rnacentral:lncRNA from 1 species
AAAAACACUUAAUAGUCGACAAAAGUACCGGAGCAUUUUCUUUAAGAUGAAAAUUUACUCACAAAUAUCAUCUGUAUUCAUAUAUUUAUUAUUGCUUAAAAUAAAAACAUUUUUUAAAUAAGAUGAACUUUUCCUUUGAGAGAGAGAGACUUUUGUAAAUGUGAAACUUUUAUAGAUAUCCCCUGGGUGGAUUGCACCGGCAUGAACCAGCAUUAAUACUGUGAAUAAAGUAGUUUAAACUUAACAUUCAUAGUCCCUGAAGAAAUAUAUGGGUGAUAAAUUGGGCUUGGGGACAACAAAGAUGAAUCUGACCUCUUCCUAGAUCAGAGAUCUAUUUUUUCUUACAAAAACUCACUGCAAAUGUUGUACCUUACAGAGAUUAUAAUCCGAAAAACAGGACAUCUCUCCAAAACAAACUUCAAUACAUACAUAUAUAGCCUACAUUAGACUAUAGGUCUAUAGUACAGCGGGCUUUAUUAGGACGAUUCCGUAGAAUACCUUGAAAAGUGAAACCGUGAAUGCAGUGCAUUUUGGAUUGCUUUAUUAGUGAGAUGGCUAACAUGCUGAGUCACAUCCAAUAACUACUGCAUAGAAGCUUUUAAUCUGGGAGACAGGCAGGCAGGCAGGCAGACAGGCAAGCAGGCAGACAGGCAGGCAGGCAGGCAGGCAGGCAGGCAGGCAAAAAGACAGACAGACAGACAGACAGACAGACAGACAGACAGACAGACAGACAGACAGACAGGCAGGCAGGCAGGCAGGCAGGCAGACAGGCAGGCACCUGGACCAGAUUAACUGUAAAGAAGACACCAUAUUAUCAAGACUAGGACCAGUGGACCAGAUUAACUGUAUAGAAGACACCAUAUUAUCGAGACUAGGACCAGUGGACCAGAUUAACUGUAUAGAAGACACCAUAUUAUCGAGACUAGGACCAGUGGACCAGAUUAACUGUAUAGAAGACACCAUAUUAUCGAGACUAGGACCAGUGGACCAGAUUAACUGUAUAGAAGACACACCAUGUUAUAUUUUUGAAAAUGCUUUAUUUUUUCUAGUUAACCACUAUAAAUAUAAACAUGAGCAUAGAAAAACCGUCCCAGGUCUAAACGGGGACAGCGGAGGAGCACAGUUUGGCAAUAAGGCAAGAAACGUUUACAGUAAGAAACGUUUACAGUAAGAAAUGUUUACAGUAAGACACUUUUACAGUAAGAAACAAAUGUUUACAGUGUUAAGAAACGUUUACAGUAAGAAAUGUUUACAGUAAGACACUUUUACAGUAAGAAACGUUUACAGUAAGACACUUUUACAGUAAGAAAUGUUUACAGUAAGACACUUUUACAGUAAGAAACGUUUUACAGUGUUAAGAAACGUUUUACAGUGUUAAGAAACGUUUACAGUGUUAAGAAAUGUUUACAGUGUUAAGAAACGUUUUAAGAAACGCUAAGAACCAUUUCCAGUUUUAUUAUUAAUAUUGUUAUUUCUUUAACGAGGCACGUGUUGUUCUGUUGGAGAUGGAGACGACACGCCAGCUGGGGGGGUGAUGGGGGGGGGGUGAUGGGGAGUCGAUAGAGGUCAGUCUCUCUCAGCUCUGUUCAUUCUGAAUGGCUCCAUAGACCUCCAUACUAAACAGCCUGAUAUCUCUGUCCUCCCACUAAACACAACACCCCAACACACACAAAAAACACAUCGUACAUUACAUUGUUAACAUAAUAACACUAAAUUACAUCACAAAUUUAAAUGUUCAAACUAUCGUUGUUGUUUUUUUGAGAAGAAAAAUGUGUUUUAGUUUGAUCUCUAAACUAGGUCUAUAUAAAGGAAAGAAACCAUGUUUACUCUAGGAAUAUAUUAUAACAUUUCUUCUGACGUCACACAUAAUGAAUAUAUUAAAUAUAUCCUAACUUCUUGUCAUCAUAAAACAAUGCAAUAAAAGUUACUCAUCAGUAUUUUAUGAAAUUCCAGUUUUCUUGAGAGAGAGGAGAGAGAGAGAGAGAGAGAGAGAGAGAGAGAGAGAGAGAGAGAGAGAGAGAGAAACCCUUUACAGGCCAGACAGAGAGAGAGAGAGAGAGAGAGAGAGAGAGAGAGAGAAACCCUUUACAGGACAGAGAGAGAGAGAGAGAGAGAAACCCUUUACAGGACAGACAGAGAGAGAGAGAGAUAGAGAGACAGAGAGAGAGAGAAAGAGAGAGAGAGAGAGAGAGAGACAGAGAGAGAGUUGGGCCUGAUUUUCCAAAAUACUGUUGAAUCCAUUUAAAUCCCAACUGCCUUUUUCUCCUUCAAGUUCACCAGCAUCAACACAACUAACACCCCCUACAACAACAACAACAACAACACCAACAACAACAUAAUACUAAAUUAACCCAAAAGACUCAAUAGAGACAUGGACAAACUCUGUCAUCCAAGUGGUGAUGAAUAGAGGGUGGUACUGCAACAUUUACUUUGAGGUUCUGUCUCUGUCUCUGUCUCUCUCUCUCUCUCUCUCUCUCUGUCUCUCUCUCUCUCUCUCUGUCUCUCUCUCUCUCUCUCUGUCUCUCUCUCUCUCUGUCUCUCUCUGUCUCUGUCUCUCUCUCUCUCUCUCUCUCUCUCUCUCUCUCUCUCUCUCCCCACAAACAAACAUUUGUCAGCCUAUUACCCAGUGUAGCAGCUUUUGAUGUGUUUUCACGUAGCUCUGGAGGGUUACACCUAUAGGGGGCACUGUGAGGGGGAAGCGAGAAGCUGUGUGUGUGUGUGUGUGUGUGUGUGUGUGUGUGUGUGUGUGUGUGUGUGUGUGUGUGUGUGUGUGUGUG